rnacentral:rRNA from 1 species
UACGGAGGGGGCGAGCGUUUAUUCGGAAUUAUUGGGCGUAAAGGGCGCGUAGGCGGCUUGAUAAGUCAAAGGUGAAAUCCCUCGGCUCAACUGAGGAACUGCCUUUGAAACUGUCUGGCUUGAGGCCGGGAGGGGGUAGCGGAAUUCCCAGUGUAGCGGUGAAAUGCGUAGAUAUUGGGAGGAACACCGGUGGCGAAGGCGACUACCUGGCCUGUUCUUGACGCUGAGGCGCGAAAGCUGGGGGGGCAAACGGG